UACGUAGGGGGCAAGCGUUGUCCGGAAUCAUUGGGCGUAAAGCGCGUGUAGGCGGCUCGGUAAGUCCGCUCUGAAAGUCCAGGGCUCAACCCUGGGAUGCGGGUGGAUACUGCCGGGCUCGAGUCCGGAAGAGGCGAGUGGAAUUCCCGGUGUAGGCGGUGAAAUGCGCAGAUAUCGGGAGGAACACCAAUGGCGAAGGCAGCUCGCUGGGACGUGACUGACGCUGAGACGCGAAAGCGUGGGAGCAACAGG
rnacentral:rRNA from 1 species